ACUCCUACGGGAGGCAGCAGUGGGGAAUAUUGGACAAUGGGCGCAAGCCUGAUCCAGCCAUGCCGCGUGAGUGAUGAAGGCCUUAGGGUUGUAAAGCUCUUUUGUCCGGGAAGAUAAUGACUGUACCGGAAGAAUAAGCACCGGCUAACUCUGUGCCAGCAGCCGCGGUAAUACAGAGGUGGCAAGCGUUGUUCGGAAUUACUGGGCGUAAAGGGCGCGUAGGCGGCCUUGUAAGUCUCGUGUGAAAGCCCUCGGCUUAACUGAGGAUCUGCACGGGAUACUGCGAGGCUUGAGCACGGUAGAGGCUGGUGGAAUUCCCGGUGUAGCGGUGGAAUGCGUAGAGAUCGGGAAGAACAUCGGUGGCGAAGGCGGCCAGCUGGGCCGGUACUGACGCUGAGGAGCGAAAGCGUGGGGAGCAAACGGGAUUAGAUACCCCGGUAGUCCACGCUGUAAACGAUGACGACUAGGUGUGGGGGGGGUUAGUCCUUUCCGUGCCGCAGCUAACGCAUUAAGUCGUCCGCCUGGGGAGUACGGCCGCAAGGCUGAAACUUAAAGGAAUUGACG
rnacentral:rRNA from 1 species